rnacentral:rRNA from 1 species
UAGGGAAUCUUCCACAAUGGACGCAAGUCUGAUGGAGCAACGCCGCGUGAGUGAAGAAGGUUUUCGGAUCGUAAAGCUCUGUUGUUGGUGAAGAAGGAUAGAGGCAGUAACUGGUCUUUAUUUGACGGUAAUCAACCAGAAAGUCACGGCUAACUACGUGCCAGCAGCCGCGGUAAUACGUAGGUGGCAAGCGUUGUCCGGAUUUAUUGGGCGUAAAGCGAGCGCAGGCGGAAUGAUAAGUCUGAUGUGCAAGCCCACGGCUCAACCGUGGAACUGCAUCGGAAACUGUCAGUCUUGAGUGCAGAAGAGGAGAGUGGAAUUCCAUGUGUAGCAGUGGAAUGCGUAGAUAUAUGGAAGAACACCAGUGGCGAAGGCGGCUCUCUGGUCUGCAACUGACGCUGAGGCUCGAAAGCAUGGGUAGCGAACAGG